rnacentral:rRNA from 1 species
AGAGCGAACGCUGGCGGCAGGCUUAACACAUGCAAGUCGAGCGGGCGUAGCAAUACGUCAGCGGCAGACGGGUGAGUAACGCGUGGGAACGUACCUUUUGGUUCGGAACAACACAGGGAAACUUGUGCUAAUACCGGAUAAGCCCUUACGGGGAAAGAUUUAUCGCCGAAAGAUCGGCCCGCGUCUGAUUAGCUAGUUGGUGAGGUAACGGCUCACCAAGGCGACGAUCAGUAGCUGGUCUGAGAGGAUGAUCAGCCACAUUGGGACUGAGACACGGCCCAAACUCCUACGGGAGGCAGCAGUGGGGAAUAUUGGACAAUGGGCGAAAGCCUGAUCCAGCCAUGCCGCGUGAGUGAUGAAGGCCCUAGGGUUGUAAAGCUCUUUUGUGCGGGAAGAUAAUGACGGUACCGCAAGAAUAACGCCCCGGCUAACUUCGCGCCAGCAGCCGC